UCUCUGGUAGCUCAGAUGGUAAAGCAUGUGCCUGCAAUGCAGAAGACCCGGGUUUGAUCCCUGGUUCAGGAA
rnacentral:tRNA from 1 species